rnacentral:rRNA from 1 species
GACGAACGCUGACGGCGUGCCUGAUACAUGCAAGUCGAACGAACUGACGCUGGAACUUGUUCCAGUUGACGUGAGUGGCGAACGGGUGAGUAACACGUGGGGAACCUACCCUUCAGCGGGGGAUAACCGUCGGAAACGAUGGCUAAUACCGCAUAACACUUUGUACCACAUGGUACGGAGUUAAAAGACGGCUUCGGCUGUCACUGAAGGAUGGUCCUGCGGUGCAUUAGCUAGUUGGUAAGGUAACGGCUUACCAAGGCGAUGAUGCAUAGCCGACCUGAGAGGGUGAUCGGCCACAUUGGGACUGAGACACGGCCCAA